UUUAUUCUUCGACUACAAUUGUACCACAUCGUACAAAAUGAGGAACCCUGUCGUAUUCCUAACGUUACUAGUAGCGGCCAGAGCAUUUCCAACAAAAGAUAUCCUAGAAUUAAACGCAUUAGAGAAACCUGACAUCGAACAUAUAGAUAAGGACAUACGCACGGUAUCAUACAUUCAAAACUUCAAAACGAUAAUGUCUGAUUAUGUUAAAAUGCAAUAUAAAAAUCUAACAGUAACAGAUAUGGAAGUUGUGAAAGAAACAUUGGACGGGUUCUUGCAAAAUUUUGCCGUAGAUCUGCACAAUGUUAUUGUCAAGGGGGAAAAAGAGGUUAUAGAAGAAAUAAACGAUGGUAUACCAAACUCAACGUUUGAUGAUGUAAAGAAAUGUAUUAAGAACGAACUGCCGGAUGUCAAUGAAGAGAUGGCUGAUCAGGUAGUAUAUAAAUUGAGGAAGAAUCUUUUGAAAACGAGAAAUAUUUUAGAUGGUGUUAUUAGAAAAUCACAAGUGGACGAUGAUUUUAAUGUAGGUUCUUAAACGUAUUUAUUUAAGGAUAAAUAUUUUAAAAUAAGAAUGUCCCACUAUUGUUUAUAUUUUCCGUAAGAUAAAUCCGUGAUGAUUAUAUGUAUUUGGAUAAAUACUCUAA